rnacentral:rRNA from 1 species
AGCUCCAGGGUCGGAGUUUAACGCAAGUGCCUGCUGGGUUUGGGCCAUGCAUGGUGAGCGUUCGCCUAGGGUGCCAGCACGCGAAGCAAUAUCCGCUUGGCACUUGAGCGUUGCAGCGAUGAACUUGCUAUAACUGAGCGGGCGUGGGAGACGGAUCGUUUACUUUGAAAAAAUCAGAGUGUUUCAAGCAGGCAGCUCGCUCUUGCAUGGUACAGCAUGGGAUGAUUGAAUAGGACUCCGGUGCUAUUUUGUUGGUUUCGAACACCAGGAGUAAUGAUUAACAGGGACAGUCAGGGGCACUCGUAUUCCGUCGAGAGAGGUGAAAUUCUCAGACCAAUGGAAGACGAACCACUGCGAAAGCAUUUGCCAGGGAUGUUUUCACUA